GGCAGUUCUCGGGUGACACACCUCAAAACUGGACCCCCUCUUCUCUGGUUCCGGGUGUGUCACCCAAGAACCACC
rfam:Myotis davidii contig208196, whole genome shotgun sequence.